CUAUCACUGGAGUCAGCGGCGGACGGGUGAGUAAUACGUAGGAAUCUGCCUCUAGGUGAGGGAUAACGGGCUGAAAGGUCCGCUAAUACCUCAUGUGCGAGCAAUCGUGAAAGGAGCAAUUCGCCUGGAGAUGAGCCUGCGUCCGAUUAGCUAGUUGGCGGGGUAAUAGCCCACCAAGGCAACGAUCGGUAGUUGGUCUGAGAGGAUGAUCAGCCACAAUGGGACUGAGACACGGCCCAUACUCCUACGGGAGGCAGCAGUGGGGAAUUUUACGCAAUGGGGGAAACCCUGAUGUAGCGACACCGCGUGAGCGAAGAAGCCCUUUGGGGUGUAAAGCUCUGUCAGCUGGAACGAAAACAAUGACGGUACCAGCAGAGGAAGCAUCGGCUAACUACGUGCCAGCAGCCGCGGUAAGACGUAGGAUGCAAGCGUCGUCCGGAUUCAUUGGGCGUAAAGAGUUCGUAGGUGGUUUGUUAAGUCUGGUGUUAAAGGCCCGGGCCCAACCCUGGAGGUGCAUCGGAUACUGGCAGACUUGAGUGCGUUAGAGGUGAGUGGAAUUCCCAGUGUAGCGGUGAAAUGCAUAGAUAUUGGGAAGAACACCGGUGGCGUAAGCGACUCACUGGGACGUAACUGACACUGAGGAACGAAAGCCGGGGGAGCGAAUGGGAUUAGAUACCCCAGUAGUCCCGGCUGUAAACGAUGGAUACUAGGCGUUGUGGGUAUCGACCCCCGCAGUGCCGUAGCUAACGCGAUAAGUAUCCCGCCUGAGUAGUACGGCCGCAAGGUUGAAACUCAAAGGAAUUGACGGGGGCCCGCACAAGCGGUGGAACAUGUGGUUUAAUUCGAAGCAACGCGAAGAACCUUACCAGGGCUUGACAUCUGGAGAACCUCCCGGAAACGGGAGGGUGCCUUUCGGGGAGCUCCAAGACAGGUGGUGCAUGGCUGUCGUCAGCUCGUGUCGUGAGAUGUUGGGUUAAGUCCCGCAACGAGCGCAACCC
rnacentral:rRNA from 1 species